rnacentral:rRNA from 1 species
UACAGAGGCCUCAAGCGUUAAUCGGAAUCACUGGGCUUAAAGGGUGCGUAGGCGGCGCUGCAAGUGCCUUGUGAAAUCCCAUCGCUUAACGAUGGAACUGCUCGGUAGACUGCAGUGCUUGAGGUUGGUAGGGGCUGCCGGAACUCUAGGUGGAGCGGUGAAAUGCGUAGAUAUCUAGAGGAACGCCCAAGGCGAAGGCAGGCAGCUGGGCCAAUUCUGACACUGAGGCACGAAAGCGUGGGGAGCAAACGGGG